UACAGAGGGUGCGAGCGUUGUUCGGAAUUAUUGGGCGUAAAGGGCGCGUAGGCGGUGCGGUAAGUCACCUGUGAAAUCUCCUGGCUCAACUGGGAGCUUGCAGGCGAAACUGCCGUGCUGGAGUGUGGGAGAGGUGCGUGGAAUUCCCGGUGUAGCGGUGAAAUGCGUAGAGAUCGGGAGGAACACCUGUGGCGAAGGCGGCCCCCUGGGCCGGCCCUGACACUGAGACGCGAAGGCGUGGGGAGCGAACGGG
rnacentral:rRNA from 1 species